GGGGGAUUGGCGCAAUGGUAGCGCGUUCGUCUCCAAAGCGAAAGGCUGUGUGUUCGAAUCACUCAUUCCCCA